rnacentral:misc_RNA from 1 species
UCCGGUUUAACACCGGCAGUCUCCCUAGAGUCCCCGGCAUGACCCGCUGGCAACUAGGGAUAAGGGUUUCGCUCGUUAAGGGACUUAACCCGACAUCUCACGACACGAGCUGACGACAGCCAUGCAGCACCUGUGCAAGGGCUCCCCGAAGGGCACUCCCGCCUUUCAGCGGGAUUCCCAAGCAUGUCAAGACUAGGAUAAGGUGGGGAUGACGU